CAGCUCCAGGAAAAUGAAAAGACUACUUGAGACCAAGGACUAAGAGUCCUGGGUGUGAGGUCCCAACUGGCCAUUAGCCCCUGGGGGUCUCAUUCUCAGAGUCUCAGUUCCUCUGUCAUCUAAUGAAAUGUGCUGGUGACCAUCACUAAACUGCCUCCUCUCAAGACUCCCGAGUUGUCCCUUAAGGUUGCAUACCCUCCUUCCUGACUCACUCCCCUGUGACCUUAGCCUGGGUCCUGCAAGGGGUCCCAGGGCUUUCUUGCCUUCAUAGCUCCUGACUCACCCAGCCCUUGGACAGACCCUCACAGACAGACUAGGCAAGGGAGAUGCACUCCUCUUUCACUCUCCGCUUCCACAGAGGGAAGCAGAGCUGGGACUCUCCUUUUGUGAGUGGGGGCACUCUGCCAGAGGCCCCGUGGGUGCUGCCCCUCCAUCCCAGCAGGCCUGGGUUGAUGACAUUGCAAUUGCCCUCAGAGCGGACUCUGCACCGCUCUACUGCACAUCUUUCUUCAUCGGGCAAAUAAAUACAGCAAAGUGAGCUCUACACAGAAAUAGCUUGUGUGCUCCACUUGGCGCUGGCUCACAGAUCUAAGCAAGACCUGUUUUGUUUGCUCAUUUCCCUGCUGAGACAAAUCAGUCCUGAUGAUCAGAAUGGAAGGUGGAGGUAGAGGACGGAAUGGAACGGGUGCCUGGGAAUAAAUGUCAGAGAGAUGGAAACCCAGUUUCCUGAAAUGAAAGAAAUGGGGCUGCAUCACCACAGCAUCUGAAAGCUUGGGCCUGGAAUGGAGCCCAAACUCUACUCUCUAAGCAACUGUUGCCAAACAUCUCCUUGGAGCAGCCCUGAGCCCCGAUCUACCUGUCAAGAUGGCAUUUGGACAGAAUGAGCUGGGACCCGAAAACUCAUCUCAUCCCGGCCCUCACUGUAUCAAUGAGGAGGCUGCCCACCCUCAGACCUGGCCAUGUCAGCUGUACUCCCCAGUGGGCAAUUCACUCGUACCUCCUCUGACUGCCUC